rnacentral:rRNA from 1 species
UGGAUGAUGUGGAUAAUUCGAUGCAACGCGAAGAACCUUACUACCCUUGACAUGUCCGGAACUUGCCAGAGAUGGCUUGGUGCCCGAAAGGGAAUCGGAACACAGGUGCUGCAUGGUUGUCGUCAGCUCGUGUCGUGAGAUGUUGGGUUAAGUCCCGCAACGAGCGCAACCCUUGUCAUUAGUUGCUACAUUCAGUUGGGCACUCUAAUGAGACUGCCGGUGACAAGCCGGAGGAAGGUGGGGAUGACGUCAAGUCCUCAUGGCCCUUAUAGGUGGGGCUACACACGUCAUACAAUGGCUGGUACAAAGGGUUGCCAACCCGCGAGGGGGAGCCAAUCCCAUAAAGCCAGUCGUAGUCCGGAUCGUAGUCUGCAACUCGACUACGUGAAGUCGGAAUCGCUAGUAAUCGCAGAUCAGCAUGCUGCGGUGAAUACGUUCCCGGGUCUU